rnacentral:hammerhead_ribozyme from 1 species
AUCUAGUUGACAAGUCUUAAAUAGGACGAAAUGCGCGUCCUGGAU